rnacentral:rRNA from 1 species
UCAGGACGAACGCUGGCGGCGUGCUUAACACAUGCAAGUCGAACGAUGAUGCCCAGCUUGCUGGGCGGAUUAGUGGCGAACGGGUGAGUAAUACGUGAGUAACCUGCCCUUGACUCUGGGAUAAGCCUGGGAAACUGGGUCUAAUACUGGAUACUACCUCUUACCGCAUGGUGGGUGGUGGAAAGGGUUUUACUGGUUUUGGAUGGGCUCACGGCCUAUCAGCUUGUUGGUGGGGUAAUGGCUCACCAAGGCGACGACGGGUAGCCGGCCUGAGAGGGUGACCGGCCACACUGGGACUGAGACACGGCCCAGACUCCUACGGGAGGCAGCAGUGGGGAAUAUUGCACAAUGGGCGGAAGCCUGAUGCAGCGACGCCGCGUGAGGGAUGACGGCCUUCGGGUUGUAAACCUCUUUCAGUAGGGAAGAAGCGAGAGUGACGGUACCUGCAGAAGAAGCGCCGGCUAACUACGUGCCAGCAGCCGCGGUAAUACGUAGGGCGCAAGCGUUGUCCGGAAUUAUUGGGCGUAAAGAGCUCGUAGGCGGUUUGUCGCGUCUGCUGUGAAAGCCCGGGGCUCAACCCCGGGUCUGCAGUGGGUACGGGCAGACUAGAGUGCAGUAGGGGAGACUGGAAUUCCUGGUGUAGCGGUGAAAUGCGCAGAUAUCAGGAGGAACACCGAUGGCGAAGGCAGGUCUCUGGGCUGUUACUGACGCUGAGGAGCGAAAGCAUGGGGAGCGAACAGGAUUAGAUACCCUGGUAGUCCAUGCCGUAAACGUUGGGCACUAGGUGUGGGGGACAUUCCACGUUUUCCGCGCCGUAGCUAACGCAUUAAGUGCCCCGCCUGGGGAGUACGGCCGCAAGGCUAAAACUCAAAGGAAUUGACGGGGGCCCGCACAAGCGGCGGAGCAUGCGGAUUAAUUCGAUGCAACGCGAAGAACCUUACCAAGGCUUGACAUUCACCGGACCGCCCCAGAGAUGGGGUUUCCCUUCGGGGCUGGUGGACAGGUGGUGCAUGGUUGUCGUCAGCUCGUGUCGUGAGAUGUUGGGUUAAGUCCCGCAACGAGCGCAACCCUCGUUCUAUGUUGCCAGCACGUGAUGGUGGGGACUCAUAGGAGACUGCCGGGGUCAACUCGGAGGAAGGUGGGGAUGACGUCAAAUCAUCAUGCCCCUUAUGUCUUGGGCUUCACGCAUGCUACAAUGGCCGGUACAAAGGGUUGCGAUACUGUGAGGUGGAGCUAAUCCCAAAAAGCCGGUCUCAGUUCGGAUUGAGGUCUGCAACUCGACCUCAUGAAGUCGGAGUCGCUAGUAAUCGCAGAUCAGCAACGCUGCGGUGAAUACGUUCCCGGGCCUUGUACACACCGCCCGUC